AAAGAAGAGAAGCUUGCGCGGGCUUGGCUUCAUGUUAUCAAGCAAGCACACUCCACCCCAACCAAAAGCACCAAGGAUCUCUGCCAGACACCGCAGCUCACCAGUCACCUCCACCACAAGUGUGGACCCCGCUACAGAGACCACCACCACUCAUAAGCUUGAUCUAACAGGUUGGGGGGGGUGAGACAAGAACGAAGCAACGUCAGCAGUAGCUGGAACAGUAUUUAUCCAGACACCACGCUCGCUACAUCUCUCCAGCCACCACGCCACCACCGACCCCUCGAGUGUACGCAGCC